rnacentral:rRNA from 1 species
UACGUAGGUGGCGAGCGUUGUCCGGAUUUAUUGGGUUUAAAGGGUGCGCAGGCGGGAGAUUAAGUCGGCGGUGAAAUUUUGCAGCUCAACUGUAAAAGUGCCUUCGAAACUGGUUUCCUUGAGUGUAGAUGAAGUAGGCGGAAUUUGUGGUGUAGCGGUGAAAUGCAUAGAUAUCACGAGGAACUCCGAUUGCGAAGGCAGCUUACUAAGCUACUACUGACGCUCAGGCACGAAGGCGUGGGGAUCAAACAGGAUUAGAUACCCUGGUA